rnacentral:rRNA from 1 species
UACGUAGGGCGCAAGCGUUAUCCGGAAUUAUUGGGCGUAAAGGGCGCGUAGGCGGCUUGGCAAGUGGAUGGUGAAAUCCCUCGGCUUAACCGAGGAACUGCCGUCCAAACUGCUUCGCUUGAGACCGGGAGAGGUGAGUGGAAUUCCCAGUGUAGCGGUGAAAUGCGUAGAUAUUGGGAGGAACACCAGUGGCGAAGGCGGCUCGCUGGACCGGAACUGACGCUGAGGCGCGAAAGCGUGGGGAGCAAACAGG